CGUCCUGAUACGGAAAUGAAACGGAGCUUUUCCGAAUGCAAUGGUUCAUCAAAGGUAUAUUAUCGUAGUAUUUCGCACAUAAUGGUCCAUCAUCCAGAGUUCACUAUACCCACUAUUGCUGUAUCCGUCCUGUGUAUCCACCGGCAACAGAACAGAUAGAUAUCAAUCUAUCGUAUACCAUGUGCUUCGAUAUAUAGUGAAGAAAUAUCCUACUGGAAAGCCGACCACCAUCGGGUCCAAUCAAGUCAGUCGGUGUCGAGUGCGUAAUCGGUACGGUCGGGUCAAAAGGUGCUCCUGAUAAAUUUAUGGAACGUGAUACACAAAUCAAGGCAAACUAAAAUGUCGCGUCGAUUCACAUGUUGAAUGCCGUUAGGUCUAACUCGAAUUUGAGGUUUAAAAUUUAGUGAAAUUAGGAAUUUAUUCCGAAGUGUUUGGAAGUAUCCAGUAGGUGGUAAAGUAUGAUCACUUGAAGCAUGUUCUUGGUUUCCAGAGUAGUAACUGUUCGUAAAUAAAAUCAGAAUUUUAAUUUUUGAAUUAAUUGAAGCGAAAUAAAUAUUCACAGACUGUGUCUAUAGCUAGACUUGCUGAAGAGAGAGAGUAGUUGUUUCGGCGGCAAACAAAUAUACGGUGUCGCAUUGUUUGAACCAAAUAGUGGCCAACUAAUAUUCGUUUUGGUGAAAUUGAUGGAUUAUAAUGAAGAGCAUCAAAAAUUGAAUCAGUGAUUACUAAACCCAACGAAAACGUGAUCAACGAUUUCUAACGAUCGGCAGCUAUAUGUUGAAACACAUAACGAAAUUGCCUAACCUUGGAAAAUAAAGUUAGAUGUAGUGCAUUGUAGUGUUUUCAAAGUUUAAUAGUGUAUGAAAAUCAAAAUUUAAUAAGCAGAUAGCAGCGCUACAUAUCCAAUUUCCAACACAACAGAUAAUUCAUCAAGCAUCGAACAACUCAUGUUAAAUUCAGCUUAUCAAGAAACCUGGUUAAUGAUUUCCACGAAAAAA